AGUGAACGCUGGCGGUAGGCCUAACACAUGCAAGUCGAACGGCAGCACAGUAAGAGCUUGCUCUUACGGGUGGCGAGUGGCGGACGGGUGAGGAAUACAUCGGAAUCUACUUUUUCGUGGGGGAUAACGUAGGGAAACUUACGCUAAUACCGCAUACGACCUACGGGUGAAAGCAGGGGAUCUUCGGACCUUGCGCGAUUGAAUGAGCCGAUGUCGGAUUAGCUAGUUGGCGGGGUAAAGGCCCACCAAGGCGACGAUCCGUAGCUGGUCUGAGAGGAUGAGCAGCCACACUGGAACUGAGACACGGUCCAGACUCCUACGGGAGGCAGCAGUGGGGAAUAUUGGACAAUGAGCGCAAGCCUGAUCCAGCCAUACCGCGUGGGUGAGGAAGGCCUUCGGGUUGUAAAGCCCUUUUGUUGGGAAAGAAAAGCAGCAGGUUAAUACCCCGCUGUUCUGACGGUACCCAAAGAAUAAGCACCGGCUAACUUCGUG
rnacentral:rRNA from 1 species